AAUAUUUUACAAUGGGCGAAAGCCUGAUCCAGCCAUGCUGCGUGUGUGAAGAAGGUCUCCGGAGUGUAAAGCACUCUAUGUUGGGAGGAAGGGCAGUAAGUUAAUACCCUGCUGUUUUGACGUUACCGCCAGAAUAAGCACCGGCUAACUUCGCGCCAGCAGCCGCGGUAAUACGAAGGGUGCAAGCGUUAAUCGGAAUUACUGGGCGUAAAACGCGCGUAGGUGGUUUGUUAAGUUGGAAGUGAAAACCCCGGGCUCAACCUGGGGAUUGCUUUCAAAACUGACGAGCUAGAGUACGGUAGAGGGUAGUGGAAUUUCCUGUGUAGCGGUGAAAUGCGUAGAUAUAGGAAGGAACAUCAGUGGCGAAGGCGACUACCUGGACUGAUACUGACACUGAGGUGCGAAAGCGUGGGGAGCAAACAGG
rnacentral:rRNA from 1 species